rnacentral:rRNA from 1 species
GUGGGGAAUCUUGCGCAAUGGGCGAAAGCCUGACGCAGCCAUGCCGCGUGAAUGAUGAAGGUCUUAGGAUUGUAAAAUUCUUUCACCGGGGACGAUAAUGACGGUACCCGGAGAAGAAGCUCCGGCUAACUUCGUGCCAGCAGCCGCGGUAAUACGAAGGGGGCUAGCGUUGCUCGGAGUUACUGGGCGUAAAGGGCGCGUAGGCGGACAGCUUAGUCAGAGGUGAAAGCCCAGGGCUCAACCUUGGAAUUGCCUUUGAUACUGGCUGUCUUGAGUACGGGAGAGGUGAGUGGAACUCCGAGUGUAGAGGUGAAAUUCGUAGAUAUUCGGAAGAACACCAGUGGCGAAGGCGACUCACUGGCCCGUUACUGACGCUGAGGCGCGAAAGCGUGGGGAGCAAACAGGAUUAGAAACCCGUGUAGUCC